GCCCAAGCCAGCCAGGAAGGAGGAGGCAGCCAGAGUGUUCUCUGCAGCAGAAGACCCCUUGCUGCCCUGCUUAACCCAGACCAGCAUUUGCCAGGUUCUUUCCAAGCUUAUGUACAUGAUGAGAAUAUUCAAUGCUUCAGCACAGCUAGAGAAGGCAAUGGUGAAGAAUACAAAUCUAUGCCAUCUCUGAUUGGGGAGCGAAGAGUGCAGUCCUGAUUUGCCUUGGCAGGGCAGCUAAGUAUGUCUCAAAUAUAAGAUGUAUUUGACUUGUUUUUGUCUUCAAUGCAUGUAUCACCCCUCACCUGCCUUUCCUUAUUUCAAAAUAACUUGGUGCUACUAAAAUCAGAUGUAGUUGGAGAUGCCGAUAACAUACCCUCUUGCUAAAAUAAAUCUUUGCAUUUC